AUACAGAGGGUGCGAGCGUUAAUCGGAAUUACUGGGCGUAAAGCGCGCGUAGGCGGCUGAUUAAGUCAGAUGUGAAAUCCCAGGGCUCAACCUUGGAACUGCAUCUGAUACUGGUCUGCUAGAGUUUAUGAGAGGGAAGUAGAAUUUCAGGUGUAGCGGUGAAAUGCAUAGAUAUCUGAAGGAAUACCAGUGGCGAAGGCGGCUUCCUGGCCUAAAACUGACGCUGAGGUGCGAAAGCGUGGGUAGCAAACGGAAUUAGAAACCCCAGUAGUCC
rnacentral:rRNA from 1 species